rnacentral:rRNA from 1 species
UAUGUGGACUGAAAAUAAGUAGGGAAGCACGUGAGCUGACUGUCAAGAAAAGCCGCUAUUGUUUGCAGGAUACCCGUACCGUAAACCGACACAGGUGGAUGAGGAGAGAAUCCUAAGGCCGACGGGAGAAGCAUUGUUAAGGAACUCGGCAAAAUGACUCCGUAACUUCGGGAGAAGGAGUGCCAGUAAGAUGGCCGCAGAGAAUUGGCCCAAGCAACUGUUUAGCAAAAACACAGGUCUAUGCAAAACCGAAAGGUGAGGUAUAUGGGCUGACGCCUGCCCGGUGCUGGAAGGUUAAGGGGAGAGGUUAGCGCAAGCGAAGCUUUGAACUUAAGCCCCAGUAAACGGCGGCCGUAACUAUAACGGUCCUAAGGUAGCGAAAUUCCUUGUCGGGUAAGUUCCGACCCGCACGAAAGGCGUAAUGAUUUGGGCACUGUCUCAACAAUGCACCCGGUGAAAUUGAAAUACCAGUGAAGAUGCUGGUUACCUGCGCCAGGACGGAAAGACCCCAUGGAGCUUUACUCCAGCUUGAUACUGGGAUUCGGUAUUGCAUGUACAGGAUAGGUGGGAGGCUAGGAAAUGGUAACGCCAGUUGCCAUGGAGCCAAUGUUGGGAUACCACCCUUGCAGUACUGGGUUUCUAACCAGCAGCCGUGAUCCGGCUGGGGGACAAUGUCAGGUGGGGAGUUUGACUGGGGCGGUCGCCUCCGAAAGGGUAUCGGAGGCGCUCAAAGGUUCCCUCAGAAUGGUUGGAAACCAUUCGAAGAGUGCAAAGGCAGAAGGGAGCUUGACUGCGACACCGACGGGUGGAGCAGGUACGAAAGUAGGACUUAGUGAUCCGGUGGUAUAAAGUGGGAUUGCCAUCGCUCAACGGAUAAAAGCUACCCUGGGAUAACAGGCUUAUCACUCCCAAGAGUUCACAUCGACGGAGUGGUUUGGCACCUCGAUGUCGGCUCAUCGCAUCCUGGGGCUGAAGUAGGUCCCAAGGGUUGGGCUGUUCGCCCAUUAAAGCGGUACGCGAGCUGGGUUCAGAACGUCGUGAGACAGUUCGGUCCCUAUCCGGCGUGGGCGUAAGAUAUUUGAGAGGAGCUGUCCUUAGUACGAGAGGACCGGGAUGGACUGGCCGCUGGUGUAUCUGUUGUCUUACCAAAGGCAUAGCAGAGUAGCCAAGCCGGGAAGGGAUAAACGCUGAAGGCAUCUAAGCGUGAAGCCCCCCUCAAGAUGAGAUAUCUCAUAACGUCAAGUUAGUAAGACCCCUUGAAGACGACGAGGUAGAUAGGGCAGAGGUGGAAGUGUGGUAACACAUGGAGCUGACUGUUACUAAUAGGUCGAGGGCAUAACC